rfam:Hypsibius dujardini strain Z151 scaffold0258, whole genome shotgun sequence.
AUGCUCUGGCUUCGCCACAUAUCGUGAUUUUCUUUCGCCUUUUACUAAAGAAAACCGUGUGGAGGAGCCGCUAUGAGCCGUAAUUAAUUUUUGGAGCUUCUUCGGAAGCAU